GUUACUUUGGCAGAAUAGUGCAAUAAAUUUAGAAUUUAUUUAAAUAUAUAAAUAUAUAGGUAAUA
rnacentral:tRNA from 1 species